AGUGAACGCUGGCGGUAGGCCUAACACAUGCAAGUCGAACGGCAGCACAGUAAGAGCUUGCUCUUACGGGUGGCGAGUGGCGGACGGGUGAGGAAUACAUCGGAAUCUACUUUUUCGUGGGGGAUAACGUAGGGAAACUUACGCUAAUACCGCAUACGACCUACGGGUGAAAGCAGGGGAUCUUCGGACCUUGCGCGAUUGAAUGAGCCGAUGUCGGAUUAUCUAGUUGGCGGGGUAAAGGCCCACCAAGGCGACGAUCCGUAGCUUGUCUGAGAGGAUGAUCAGCCACACUGGAACUGAGACACGGUCCAGACUCCUACGGGAGGAAGCAGUGGGGAAUAUUGGACAAUGGGCGCAAGCCUGAUCCAGCAAUACCGCGUGGGUGAAGAAGGACUUCGGGUUGUAAAGCACUUUUGUUGGGAAAGAAAAGCAGCAGGUUAAUACCCCGCUGUUCUGACGGUACCCGAAGAAUAAGCACCGGCUAACUUCGUG
rnacentral:rRNA from 1 species